GCUGAUGAUGUGACGGGCAAAAAAGGCUGGAUUGAUGGCAUAUAUGAACAAAAUGAUGCAGAUAAUCAAGAUGAAAGUGAUUCAUCUUCCCAGGAUUCAGAAGGUGAUGAAGAUAAUGAAGGAGAUGGUGAUGGGAAAGAUGGUAGUGGUGAUGAGCAUGUAAAUAUAUCCACCAUGAAAGAUUGGGAGCAAAGUGAUGAUGAUGAUGACGGUCUGAAUAUGGAUGGUGAAGAAACAGAGAACAUUGAUGAGAAAGAAGUGGCC
rnacentral:lncRNA from 1 species